CAAGAAUUAGUUUAAGUUAAAAAUUUGGGCUUUGGAAGUUUAAGAUAAAUUUGUUUAUUCUUGA
rnacentral:tRNA from 1 species